UGGGGAAUAUUGGACAAUGGGCGAAAGCCUGAUCCAGCCAUGCCGCGUGUGUGAAGAAGGCCUUUUGGUUGUAAAGCACUUUAAGUGGGGAGGAAAAGCUUAUGGUUAAUACCCAUAAGCCCUGACGUUACCCACAGAAUAAGCACCGGCUAACUCUGUGCCAGCAGCCGCGGUAAUACAGAGGGUGCAAGCGUUAAUCGGAAUUACUGGGCGUAAAGCGCGCGUAGGUGGUUAUUUAAGUCAGAUGUGAAAGCCCCGGGCUUAACCUGGGAACUGCAUCUGAUACUGGAUAACUAGAGUAGGUGAGAGGGGAGUAGAAUUCCAGGUGUAGCGGUGAAAUGCAUAGAGAUGUGGAGGAAUACCGAAGGCGAAGGCAGCCCCUUGGGAAUGUACUGACGCUCAUGUGCGAAAGCGUGGGGAGCAAACAGGAUUAGAUACCCUGGUAGUCCACGCCGUAAACGAUGUCUACCAGUCGUUGGGUCUUUUAAAGACUUAGUGACGCAGUUAACGCAAUAAGUAGACCGCCUGGGGAGUACGGCCGCAAGGUUA
rnacentral:rRNA from 1 species